rnacentral:rRNA from 1 species
UACGAAGGGGGCUAGCGUUGCUCGGAAUCACUGGGCGUAAAGCGCGCGUAGGCGGAUCGCUAAGUCAGGAGUGAAAUCCUGGAGCUCAACUCCAGAACUGCCUUUGAUACUGGCGAUCUCGAGUCCGGGAGAGGUGAGUGGAACUGCGAGUGUAGAGGUGAAAUUCGUAGAUAUUCGCAAGAACACCAGUGGCGAAGGCGGCUCACUGGCCCGGUACUGACGCUGAGGUGCGAAAGCGUGGGGAGCAAACAGG